ACGAACGCUGGCGGCACGCUUAACACAUGCAAGUCGAACGAGAGAAGAGAAGCUUGCUUUUCUGAUCUAGUGGCGGACGGGUGAGUAACACGUGAGCAAUCUGCCUUUCAGAGGGGGAUACCGAUUGGAAACGAUCGUUAAUACCGCAUAAUAUAAUUGAACCGCAUGAUUUGAUUAUCAAAGAUUUAUCGCUGAAAGAUGAGCUCGCGUCUGAUUAGCUAGUUGGUAAGGUAACGGCUUACCAAGGCGACGAUCAGUAGCCGGACUGAGAGGUUGAUCGGCCACAUUGGGACUGAGACACGGCCCAGACUCCUACGGGAGGCAGCAGUGGGGAAUAUUGCACAAUGGAGGAAACUCUGAUGCAGCGAUGCCGCGUGAGGGAAGAAGGUUUUAGGAUUGUAAACCUCUGUCUUCAGGGACGAAAAAAGACGGUACCUGAGGAGGAAGCUCCGGCUAACUACGUGCCAGCAGCCGCGGUAAUACGUAGGGAGCGAGCGUUGUCCGGAAUUACUGGGUGUAAAGGGAGCGUAGGCGGGAUCGCAAGUCAGAUGUGAAAACUAUGGGCUUAACCCAUAAACUGCAUUUGAAACUGUGGUUCUUGAGUGAAGUAGAGGUAAGCGGAAUUCCUAGUGUAGCGGUGAAAUGCGUAGAUAUUAGGAGGAACAUCAGUGGCGAAGGAGGCUUACUGGGCUUUAACUGACGCUGAGGCUCGAAAGCGUGGGGAGCAAACAGGAUUAGAUACCCUGGUAGUCCACGCCGUAAACGAUGAUUACUAGGUGUGGGGGGACUGACCCCUUCCGUGCCGCAGCAAACGCAAUAAGUAAUCCACCUGGGGAGUACGACCGCAAGGUUGAAACUCAAAGGAAUUGACGGGGGCCCGCACAAGCAGUGGAGUAUGUGGAUUAAUUCGAAGCAACGCGAAGAACCUUACCAGGUCUUGACAUCGUAUGCAUAGCUCAGAGAUGAGUGAAAUCUCUUCGGAGACAUAUAGACAGGUGGUGCAUGGUUGUCGUCAGCUCGUGUCGUGAGAUGUUGGGUUAAGUCCCGCAACGAGCGCAACCCUUACUGUUAGUUGCUACGCAAGAGCACUCUAGCAGGACUGCCGUUGACAAAACGGAGGAAGGUGGGGAUGACGUCAAAUCAUCAUGCCCCUUAUGACCUGGGCCUCACACGUACUACAAUGGCUGUCAACAGAGGGAUGCAAAGCCGCGAGGUGGAGCGAACCCCUAAAAGCAGUCUUAGUUCGGAUUGUAGGCUGCAACCCGCCUACAUGAAGUCGGAAUUGCUAGUAAUCGCAGAUCAGCAUGCUGCGGUGAAUACGUUCCCGGGCCUUGUACACACCGCCCGUCACGCCAUGGGAGUCGGUAACACCCGAAGCCUGUAGUCUAACCGCAAGGAGGACGCAGUCGAAGGUGGGAUUGAUGACUGGGGUG
rnacentral:rRNA from 1 species